rnacentral:rRNA from 1 species
GACGAACGCUGGCGGCGUGCCUAAUACAUGCAAGUAGAACGCAGUUGCGAACGGGUGAGUAACGCGUAGGUAACUGCCUCAUAGCGGGGGAUAACUAUUGGAAACGCUAGCUAAUACCGCAUACUGUGAGAUGGACCUGCGUUGUAUUGGCUAGUUGGUGAGGUAAAGGCUCACCAGGGCGACGAUACAUAGCCGACCUGAGAGGGUGAUCGGCCACACUGGGAGUGAGACACGGGGCAGACUCCGACGGGAGGCAGCAGUGGGGAAUAUUGCACAAUGGGCGCAAGCCUGAUGCAGCCAUGCCGCGUGUAUGAAGAAGGCCUUCGGGUUGUAAAGUACUGUCAGCGAGGAGGCGUUACUCGCAGAAGAAGCACCGGCUAACUCCGUGCCAGCAGCCGCGGUAAUAC